CCUACGGGAGGCAGCAGUGAGGAAUAUUGGUCAAUGGGCGAGAGCCUGAACCAGCCAAGUCGCGUGAGGGAGUACUGCCCUAUGGGUUGUAAACCUCUUUUGUCGGGGAGCAAAAGCCGGACGUGUCCGGCUGUGAGAGUACCCGAAGAAAAAGCAUCGGCUAACUCCGUGCCAGCAGCCGCGGUAAUACGGAGGAUGCGAGCGUUAGCCGGAUUUAUUGGGUUUAAGGGGUGCGCAGGCGGAUUUUUAAGUCAGCGGUAAAAUCGUGGGGCUCAACCCCAUCCAGCCGUUGAAACUGGGGAUCUAGAGUGUGCGAGAGGUAUGCGGAAUGCGUGGUGUAGCGGUGAAAUGCAUAGAUAUCACGCAGAACCCCGAUUGCGAAGGCAGCAUACCGGUGCAAAACUGACGCUCAGGCACGAAAGCGUGGGUAUCGAACAGGAUUAGAUACCCGUGUAGUC
rnacentral:rRNA from 1 species